rnacentral:rRNA from 1 species
GCUAAGACUGCAUACGAAGAAAUAAGGCAUCUUUUUUCUUUUAAAAGACCUAGUGAUAGGUAUACUUUAGGAGGGGCUUGCGCCAUAUUAGUUAGUUGGUAGGGUAAUGGCCUACCAAGACGAUGAUGUGUAGCUGGACUGAGAGGUUGAACAGCCACAUUGGGACUGAGACACGGCCCAAACUCCUACGGGAGGCAGCAGUAGGGAAUUUUCGGCAAUGGAGGAAACUCUGACCGAGCAACGCCGCGUGAACGACGAAGUACUUUGGUAUGUAAAGUUCUUUUAUCAAGGAAGAAAAGCAAGUGGUGAACCAUUUGUUUGCCGGUACUUGAUGAAUAAGCCCCGGCUAAUUAUGUGCCAGCAGCCGCGGUAAGACAUAAGGGGCAAGUGUUAUCCGGAAUUAUUGGGCGUAAAGGGUGCGUAGGCGGUCUAGUAAGUCAGUGGUGUAAUGGCAACGCUCAACGUUGUCCGGCUAUUGAAACUGCUAAACUUGAGUUAGAUAGAGGCGAGUGGAAUUCCAUGUGUAGCGGUAAAAUGCGUAAAUAUAUGGAGGAACACCAGAGGCGUAGGCGGCUCGCUGGGUCUUAACUGACGCUGAGGCACGAAAGCGUGGGGAGCAAACAGGAUUAGAUACCCUGGUAGUCCACGCCGUAAACGAUGAGUACUAAGUGUCGGGUUAAACCGGUACUGAAGUUAACACAUUAAGUACUCCGCCUGAGUAGUACGUACGCAAGUAUGAAACUUAAAGGAAUUGACGGGACUCCGCACAAGCGGUGGAUCAUGUUGUUUAAUUCGAAGAUACCCGAAAAACCUUACCAGGUCUUGACAUGUUUUUGCGAAACGGUAGUAAUAUCGUGGAGGUUAUCAGAAACACAGGUGGUGCAUGGUUGUCGUCAGCUCGUGUCGUGAGAUGUUAGGUUAAGUCCUAAAACGAGCGAAACCCUUAUCGUUAGUUGCCAGCACGUUAUGGUGGGGACUUUAACGAGACUGCCAGUGAUAAAUUGGAGGAAGGUGAGGAUCACGUCAAAUCAGCAUGCCCCUUAUGACCUGGGCUACAAACGUGAUACAAUGGCUGUUACAAAGGGUAGCUGAAACGCAAGUUCUUGGCCAAUCCCCAAAAACAGUCUCAGUCCGGAUUGAAGUCUGCAACUCGACUUCAUGAAGUUGGAAUCGCUAGUAAUCGCGAAUCAGCAUGUCGCGGUGAAUACGUUCUCGGGGUUUGUACACACCGCCCGUCA